AAACACAUUUGCAAAUGUGAAAGCAAAUUACCAUUUCAUUAAACACAUUUGCAAAUGUGAAAGCAAAUGAACAAAACACAAAAGCAAACUGCGAGACACAUUUACAUUUCACGAAACACAAAGCAAAUUAACAAAACACAAAACACAAAAGCAAACUGCGAGACACAUUUACAUUUCACGAAACACAAACGCAAACUCCAAAAACACAUUACAUUAACGAAAUUUCUUACGGAAGUAAGAAAUUUCUUACGGAAGUGAGAAAUUUCUUACGGAAGUGGUGUAGGUGCCCAACGCGUUCCUCCUGCCUGAUCCGUUCCCUAAUGGGGCGUCAGGAAAGCGGACGUGACGAAACAGGAAAUAGUGAGGAAUAAUUACAUACUUUCAGCGAGUGGAUGAGACGGUCGAUGCGGCGAGUGAAGAGCAUUCAUUUUUUAGCAUUUAUUUGAUCGUUCUGAGAAAAAUUGUCCGGUAACAUACACACACACAUGUAUUGCCCGUCUUGUGGCGUUUGUUUAUUCGCCUUAUUCACCCGGAACGUUCUAAAGACGUUGAGGGGUACACUUCAGGGGUACAUUCGGCAACGCACCAGCUGUCAUAGCGCCUCACUGUUGUGUGCCCAAAUGUUCGUCCUCAAAGAGAAAAAAUCCUACCGUGGACAGACUUUCCACCGUUUCCACAAAGAGCAGGCACUUCGCCGUGAAUGUAUAAAUCAAAUCAAGAGGGAUCUUGGUCCAUAUUUCAAGAUCAACGCUGAGACCAAAGUUUGCUCUGAGCACUUUGAGAAGCAGUGUUUUGUAAAGACCGCCUGUGGUAUCACAAAGCUUAUAAAGGAUGCUGUGCCUUCUGAGCUCUAGGAAGAGCAUUACUCAGCUGGAGCUUUCCCAUGGCCAAGAGAUGAACGCUAAACUUGAUAGUUUUUUUUCCUCCUCCUUCCUGCCUGCACUGUACAAAAAGUCAGUAAACAAAAACAAAUGAUUGCAUUUCACAGGUUUGUUUAUUAUAAUUUCAAAGAGAAAUGAUGUAUGAAUAAUACAAGACAUUAUUAUAUAACAACAACAUUUAGUAUAAGAACAUUUCGUAUAAUAUGAUGAUAUAUCAUGAAUAUCAUGUACAUUUGAAGCAUGAGAGAUUUGUACAAAUAAACAUCAAUUCAAUGUA